UGUUCAACAUUUUUUUGAGUACACUCCACAAAAAAACAGAAAACAAAUAAGGUGGAGGAGGAGUGACUGAACACGCCCAUUUUUGUUCAUGGAAAUCAGAAUUGAAUAUGGGUGGAAGGACAUGAUGGUGAGUCAACGUUAACCUGUCAAACAAAUUGAAACACCCAAGCACAUUCCGGAGAAUUGUUAGAUGGAAGAACAAUAGAGAUUGAAUUUCUCGCGCAUUGUGCAGGGAAAUUUGCAAGAAUUGGGUGGAAAAUGACGAGAAAAUGAUGGAAGUUAAAUGAUUUUAUUCAUGAUUUUUUUAAAAGAUUAUCUUGAUUUUUUUUUAUUUCUGCAGACUACAGUAAAUGCUUCUUAU
ensembl:lincRNA linc-122 ncRNA